ensembl:lncRNA
UUCUCCAGGUUGUAGAAGGCCAAAUCCCUCAGCCUGACCUCACAGGAGAGGUGCUCCCACUCUCUGGACAUCUUCAUGGCCUCUGGACCCAGGCAGCACUGGGCUCUGCUUCCUCCUUGUGCUGGGGGACCCAGUCCUGGAUUCAGUACCCCACACGGAGCCUCAUGAGGGCAGAGCAGCAGGGAACAGUCCCCUCUGUGCCCUGCUGCCACCUCCCUGUUAAUGCAGCCCAGGAUACAGCUGGCUGUCUCAUGCCCGUCUUGUCACCCACCAGCAGCCCACGUCCUUCUGCAGGGCUGCUCCCAAGGAAUACUUCUCUCAGUCUGCACAGGUAUCUGUAAUUGUCUCAACCCAAGUGCAUCUUUUACUUGUUGAACCUUACUAGGUUCUCAAGGGCCCACUUUGCAAGCCUGUCCAGGUCUCUCUGGAUGGUAUUCCUUCUUCUAUUGUAUUGGCUGCACCACCCAGCCUGGUAUUAUGAGCAAACUUGCCGAGGGUGCUCUCAAUCUCACUGUUGAUGUCAUUGAUAAAGAUGCUGAAGAAUACUUGUCCCACAACAGACCCCUGGAGGGCACCACUCACCACCAGCCUCAACUGGACAGAGAUCACAACACUCUGGAUGCAAACUUCCAACCAAUUCUGAAUAGCCCAGACUUCAAAUCCAUCUCUCCAAUUCAGAGAUAUGGAUGUGGCGUGGGACCAUGUCAAAGGCCUUGCACAAGACCAGGUAGCUACCAGUUGCCCCUCCUUUGUACAGCAGUGCCAUCACUUCAUCAUAGAAGGCAACCAGACUGGUCAGGCACAAUCUACCCUUGGCGAAGUUGUGGUGGCUGUCUUGGAUCACCUCCUCAUCUUGCAUGUGUCAUGCAGGGGUAAACUGAACCAAAAGGCAACAUCAAAGAAGCUCGGUGGUUGAGAAACCUGGGAGUUUUGAGCAUUCCCUGGAGGAAGGUAGUGCAGAGGAAAAUGCUGUUGAUGUGCUGGUAUUGCUGGGUUUCCAAGCACUGGAUCAGACUGCCUCAUGUGGGUGGGCAGGUAGAAGGGCAGCGAGGCUUGGAGACGUUGUGAUUUUCCUUCAGGCCAGAGCUGGAAUUACGUGCAAGUGAACUGCAUCAUCUGUCAGUACCCCGAUCUCCUUGUGAAGCUGGAGUGAUGGUAGCAGUGGGGGGCCUGAGCUGCACCUUGCUCAGCCUGAGGCUGAGUGGCUUUGUCCUGCAUCCUCUCUUCUCCCCAAGCAAUGCUUGGUACGAGGCGGCCAGGCUCCUUUGGAAUCUCGGUGGCCCAGCUGUAAGUAAGUAGAAGGGCUGAUGAGCAAAGACGUAAGCAUUUUUCUCCCCUGAGGACAGAGAAGUGCCUUUCCUACUAUGAAUAACUUUAAAUCUUUAGUGUCAGGGUCUCAGCACAUGUAAAUUGCCAUUCCUCUCAUUUCCUGUGACUUGUGUCAGGUUGCACAAGCCAAAAUGCACAGCUGCUCUUUUUGGAUCAAAAAAAAAAUGUAUACCCUAUUUUGCAUUUACCCACUUUUUCUUUUCCCCACUAUAAGGUCAGCCUUCUUUCCUGGUAUUAUUUCCCAAACUGCCUACCAGGCACAUUCUCUAUCAAAACCACUAGAAGUCAGCCACAUUCUGCACACAAUAGUCC